UACGAAGGGAGCUAGCGUUGUUCGGAAUCACUGGGCGUAAAGCGCACGUAGGCGGAUGUGUCAGUCAGGGGUGAAAUCCCGGAGCUCAACUUCGGAACUGCCUUUGAUACAGCACGUCUUGAGUCCGAUAGAGGUGGGUGGAAUUCCUAGUGUAGAGGUGAAAUUCGUAGAUAUUAGGAAGAACACCGGGGGCGAAGGCGGCCCACUGGAUCGGUACUGACGCUGAGGUGCGAAAGCGUGGGGAGCAAACAGG
rnacentral:rRNA from 1 species